rnacentral:rRNA from 1 species
UAGGGAAUCUUCCGCAAUGGGCGAAAGCCUGACGGAGCAACGCCGCGUGAGUGAUGAAGGUCUUCGGAUCGUAAAACUCCGUUAUUAGGGAAGAACAAAUGUGUAAGUAACUAUGCACAUCUUGACGGUACCUAAUCAGAAAGCCACGGCUAACUACGUGCCAGCAGCCGCGGUAAUACGUAGGUGGCAAGCGUUAUCCGGAAUUAUUGGGCGUAAAGCGCGCGUAGGCGGUUUUUUAAGUCGGAUGUGAAAGCCCACGGCUCAACCGUGGAGGGUCAUUGGAAACUGGAAAACUUGAGUGCAGAAGAGGAAAGUGGAAUUCCAUGUGUGGCGGUGAAAUGCGCAGAGAUAUGGAGGAACACCAGUGGCGAAGGCGACUUUCUGGUCUGUAACUGACGCUGAGGCUCGAAAGCGUGGGUAGCAAACAGG